GAGGCUCUAUCACGUCAUCUUCUAGCUUCCAUAUGAUUCCUCUCCACUAGUCAUUCCUCUAGAAAAUCUCCAGCCGCUGCCCUCCAUCUGAUAUUUCUCAGCCGUCGUAUAUCUGUUGGCUAGCGCUCGGCUUCUUUCGCACACGCUCCUGCUGCCGGUACCCAGUCCUACGGCCCCUCCUCUCUCCACCUCGACUCGCCGGCGUUGCUCGGCUGCAGCUCGUCGGAGCUUCCUGUUCUCAGCGCGCCGACCUCCCUCUUCUCCUUCAUGUCCGGCCGCCGGUCUGGCCGAGGACCCUGGUCGUGGGGUCGCGUCCUCCUCCCUCGUCGCGGACCUGCCGUGUCCUGGGCGCCAUUCCAGCACUGCCAGGUUCCGCGCCAUCGUGCCUCUGGGUCCUCGCCGCGGUUCAGGCCGUCGAUGCCUGUUGCCCCGACGCUCCCUCACGCUCCUUUAUCAGCCUCGCCUAGACCUCCGCCUCCUCGUCGGACUGCACACACGCCGCCGCCAUUUCUUGCAGUUUCGUCGCGCCAUCCCCUCUGAUUUCCUUGUCCUCGUCGGCUUAAACUCCGUUGACGUACCCUGCAAGCAGGUUUGACGCCCUCUCAAUUAUUCUGCUCGUUUCACUAACCGAUGCCUGUGCCUUGAGGUUAACUAUGUGUAUGUGUGUAUGUAUCGAGAGAAAAUCUAAAUCAUGUAGAAUAGUGAAGUCCAGUUCGUCGCUCGCCGGUGCUCGAUAUAUUGCCUGAGUCGGAUUUGUCACCAUUUUCGCGAGUCCUGACUCGAUUUAGGUAUUGUGUAAGUUUAGAUUCGCUUGCAGUGAAGUUUAGUUCAAUCAGUUAGUCUUCGAAUAUUUGCGCAAUUAGAAAUAUUUUUUUUCCAUUAGUGAAAUAAAUCACACAAUGGAAGUAAUAAAAUGAAUAAUUUGUUGUAUCUGAUUUUGGGAUUGAAUGGAGUCCAUGGACCACAAUUCACAAGUUGAUCCUUGGCGUGUGCUUUAUGUAGCUAGAACUAUAAUUCACUUGAUGCUUCAUCUUCUCAUACGUAAGGUCUAAAACUCAUAAUCGUCGUCGGUUCCGCUGUAGUCGAGUCGAAUUGAUUAUGAUACUAUUAAAUCUUGGAGUUUCUCGCAGCUAAGCUUAAUUCAGUUUGGGUAUGGAUAGUUAGAUAACUAGUUUAAGUGUACUUAAUCACCUUUCUUUAAUAAAGUAAAUACUAGAUAAUUAAGAAAGAUUGGAUAAUGUUGAGUGAAGUCCAUGGAACGUCGACCUUGGUUAAUCCAUGGCACGCCUGUGAUGUUUGCCUGAAUGCAAGCUAGGAUGAGUUGCUUCUAAAUGAGUAACUCCAUUUUUACUCUAAAUUAGUAUGUUUAUCUAAUCAUCUUGUUAUAUGGUGGACUAGUAAGUACCUUAGGCAAUACUUUAUUAAUCUAUAAUGUACUAUUGGAGCUUAUAAAACUAGUUAAAUUACUCUUAACUUUAAUCUAAGUCUUAGGUGGCUAUCACUGGUGAAUCUAAGUUUUAGUAAUGUCGGGGACCAUAAUUAGGGGUACCCUCAAGACGCCUAAUUCUCAGCUGGUAACCUCCAUCAGCAUAAAGCUGCAAAGGCCUGAUGGGUGCGAUUAAGUCAGGGAUCAGUCCAUACGAGUGACUCGAUCACGCUUCACCCGAGCCUAGCCUCGGACUCGGGCAGCCGACCUCGAGGGACUUCCGUCUCGCCCGAGGCCCCCCUUUUAACGGCGGACACAUCUCCGGCUCGCCCGAGGCCUUGGCUUCGCUAAGAAGCAACCCUGACUAAAUCGCCGCACCGACUGACCGAGUUGCAGGGGCAUUUAACGCAAAGGUGGCCUGACACCUCUAUCCUGACGCACGCCCCCCGGCAGAGCCGAAGUGACCGCCGUCACUCCGCUGCUCCACUGACCGGUCUGACAGAAGGACAGCGCCGCCUGCGCCACUCCGACUGCGGUGCCACUCGACAGAGUGAGUCUGACAGGCAGUCAGGCCUCGCCAGGGGCGCCAUAGCGAACUCCGCUCCGCGCCGACCCCAGGGCUCGGACUCGGGCUAAGACCCGGAAGACGGCGAACUCCGCUCCGCCCGACCCCAGGGCUCGGACUCGGGCUAAGACCCGGAAGACGGCGAACUCCGCUCCGCCCGACCCCAGGGCUCGGACUCGGGCUAAGACCCGGAAGACGGCGAACUCCGCUCCGCCCGACCCCAGGGCUCGGACUCGGGCUAAGACCCGGAAGACGGCGAACUCCGCUCCGCCCGACCCCAGGGCUCGGACUCGGGCUAAGACCCGGAAGACGGCGAACUUUGCUCCGCCCGACCCCAGGGCUCGGACUCGGGCUAAGACCCGAAAGACGGCGAACUCCGCUCCGCCCGACCCCAGGGCUCGGACUCGGGCUCGGCCCCGGAAGACGACGAACUCCGCCUCGCCCGACCCCAGGGCUCGGACUCCGCCCUGGCCUCUGCCGAACGACUUCCGCCUCGCCCGACCCAGGGGCUCGGACUCGGCCUCGGCAACGGAAGACAGAUUCGACCCCAGAUUCGGAGGAGCCCCCACGUCGCCUGGCCUCGGGCGCGGGCCCGCCACGUCAACAGGGAGCGCCAUCACCACUCUACCCCGAGCCGACUCGGGCUGCAGAGAACAAGACCGAUGUCCCAUCUGGCCAGCUCCGCCAGAUAGACAAUGAUGGCGCCUCCCAAGCUCUAUGACGGCGGCGGCUCUCAGCUCUCUUACGGAAGCAGGUGGACGUCAGCAAGGACUCGACCGCUCCGACAGCUGUCCUUCCGCCAAGCUCCGUCGCUCCUCCGACAGCCACGACAUCACACCAGCAGGGUGCCAAGAUCUCUCCGGCUGCCACAUUGGCAUGUACUUAGGGCGCUAGCUCUCCCUCCGCUAGACACGUAGCACUCUGCUACACCCCCAUUGUACACCUGGAUCCUCUCCUUACGACUAUAAAAGGAAGGACCAGGGCCUUCUUAGAGGAGGUUGGCCGCGCGGGACCGAGGACGGGACAGGCGCUCUCUUGGGGCCGCUCGCUUCCCUCACCCGCGUGGACGCUUGUAACCCCCCUACUGCAAGCGCACCCGACCUGGGCGCGGGACGAACGCGAAGGCCGCGGGACUUCCACCUCUCUCACGCCCGUCUCCGGCCACCUCGCCUCUCCCCCCUUCGCGCUCGCCCACGCGCUCGACCCAUCUGGGCUGGGGCACGCAGCACACUCACUCGUCGGCUUAGGGACCCCCCGGUCUCGAAACGCCGACAGUUGGCGCGCCAGGUAGGGGCCUGCUGCGUGUUGACGAACAGCUUCCCGUCAAGCUCCAGAUGGGCAGUCUCCAGCAACCUCUCCGACCCGGGACGGUGCUCCGUUUCGGGAGUCUUGAGUUCAUGUCCUUCGACGGCAGCUACGACAUGAUACUCCUUCCACCGCCGUGCGACAACGACAAUGGCGGCCGACAACCCGCCCGCCGGCAGCGGAAUCGACGACAUCUUCCCCGCGUGGUGGAAGAACAACAUUCGGGCUCGCUCCGUGCUCUCCCCCGCCAACGGAGGAGGAGGCGGGGCAACCAAGGCCAAGCGGGAGGCCGCGCUUCGUCGGCCGUCGAGCGAAUCGACGCCCCCGACGCCCAGACGGAAGGCACGCCAGGCGUCGACCUCGCGUUCGAGACGAAGGCAAGCGCCGUCCCCCCGCGACACGCUGAUCCCGAGCAAGAAGACGACGUCAGCGCGCUCGCGGAAAGCUUGCAGGACGUCGCCCUUGUACCUGAGAUGACGGCGCAACCAGUCCCCGAUGUGACUACGUCGCUCCGCGUCGACCAAAAGGUACUGACUAAUCCCCAUCUUACGUCAUUUCGACUCGGCCUCAACCCGCCUAGCAACCUUGCUUUGGCGGGCGCUCUCAUUGAGGCGAGUGCAACCCCACUGGGGUUUCGUAUGCGGUCGCCUUGGGACCGGUUGACGGACGUCUCAACCUACGGGCCCUCUGGGUCCGAGGAAGAUGACGAUCCCAGCAUCUGUUGGGAUUUCUCUGGACUUGGCAACCCCAGUGCCAUGCGGGACUUCAUGACCGCAUGUAACUACUGCCUCUCCUACUGUUCCGACGGAAGCCGCAGCCUUAACUACGAGGACUGCGGCCCAAGCCGCGAAUGUUUCCACAUCGAGCUAGGGGAUCCCUCCGAAGGAAACCAUCUCGGCAUGCCGGAGGACGGAGAUCUUCCUAGGCCGGUGCCUCGCGCCGACAUCCCGCGGGAGCUAGCUGUGGUCCCCGUUCCGGCGGGGGGUCACGACCCACAACUCGAGCAAGUCCGCGGGGCGCAGGCCAGGCUCAACGAGGGAACAGGAGCGCUUGAGCCGAUCCGUCGGGACGUCGGACAGGUAUGGGCGGGCCAACCCCCGGCCGGAGAAAUACGUCACCUGCCCCAAGGUCUCCAGCACUGCGUCGCCAACGAUGUCAGGGUCAGGCCGCCGCCCGCAUCCAGCGGGGUUGGUCAGAACCUGGCAGCCGCAGCGAUGCUCCUCCGCGCGAUGCCGGAGCCAUCAACUACCGAGGGUCGGCGGAUCCAGGGAGAGCUCAAGAAUCUCCUGGAAGGCGCUGCGGCCCGACGGGCCGAGAGCACUGCCUCCCGAAGGCAGGGAUACCCCUCGGAACCUCAUGCCGCGACUUCCCGAUUCAUGCGGGAAGCCUCGGUCUACAUCGGACGCACGCGCAACACCGCGCCUGCGGCCCCGGGCCACCUCGGCAACGAGCACCAUCGACAUGACCGUCGGGCCCACCUCGACGAAAGGGUGCGCCGAGGCUACCACCCCAGGCGUGGGGGGCGCUACGACAGCGGGGAGGAUCGGAGUCCCUCGCCCGAACCACCCGGUCCGCAGGCCUUCAGUCGGGCCAUCCGACGGGCGCCGUUCCCGACCCGGUUCCGACCCCCGACUACCAUCACAAAGUACUCGGGGGAAACGAGACCGGAACUGUGGCUCGCGGACUACCGCCUGGCCUGCCAACUGGGUGGAACGGACGACGACAACCUCAUCAUCCGAAACCUCCCCCUGUUCCUCUCCGACACUGCUCGCGCCUGGUUGGAGCACCUGCCUCCGGGGCAGAUCUCCAGCUGGGACGACUUGGUCCAAGCCUUCGCCGGCAAUUUCCAGGGCACAUAUGUGCGCCCCGGGAAUUCCUGGGACCUUCGAAGCUGCCGGCAACAGCCAGGAGAGUCGCUCCGGGACUACAUCCGGCGAUUCUCGAAGCAGCGCACCGAGCUGCCCAACAUCACCGACUCGGAUGUCAUCGGCGCGUUCCUUGCCGGCACUACUUGUCGUGACCUGGUGAGCAAGUUGGGUCGCAAAACCCCCACCAGGGCGAGCGAGCUGAUGGACAUCGCUACCAAGUUCGCCUCUGGCCAGGAGGCGGUCGAGGCUAUCUUCCGAAAGGACAAGCAGCCCCAGGGCCGCCCAUCGGAAGAGGCUCCCGAGGCGUCUACUCCGCGCGGCGCCAAGAAGAAGGGCAAGAAGAAGUCGCAAUCGAAACGCGACGCCGCCGACGCGGACCUUGUCGCCGCCGCCGAGUACAAGAACCCUCGGAAGCCCCCCGGAGGUGCAAACCUCUUCGACAAGAUGCUCAAGGAGCCGUGCCCCUAUCAUCAGGGGCCCGUCAAGCACACUCUCGAGGAGUGCGCCAUGCUUCGGCGCCACUUCCACAGGGCCGAGCCACCCGUAGAGGGUGGCAGGGCCCACGACGACGACAAGAAAGAAGAUCACCAAGCAGGAGAAUACCCCGAGGUCCGCGACUGCUUCAUGAUCUACGGUGGGCAUGCGGCGAAUGCCUCGGCUCGGCAUCGCAAGCAAGAGCGCCGGGAGGUCUGCUCGGUGAAGGUGGCGGCGCCAGUCUACCUAGACUGGUCCGACAAGCCCAUCACCUUCGACCAGGCUGACCACCCCGACCACGUGCCGAGCCCGGGGAAAUACCCGCUCGUCGUCGACCCCGUCAUCGGCAACGUCAGGCUCACCAAGGUCCUGAUGGAUGGGGGCAGCUGCCUCAACGUCAUCUACGCCGAGACCCUCAAGCUCCUGCGCGUCGAUCUGUCCUCCAUCCGAGCAGGUGCUGCGCCCUUCCACGGGAUCAUCCCUGGGAAGCGCGUCCAGCCCCUCGGACGACUCGACCUCCCCGUCUGCUUCGGAACGCCCUCCAACUUCCGAAGGGAGACCUUGACGUUCGAGGUGGUCGGGUUCCGAGGAACCUACCACGCGGUACUGGGAAGGCCACGCUACGCGAAGUUCAUGGCCGUCCCCAACUACACCUACCUGAAGCUCAAGAUGCCGGGCCCCAACGGGGUCAUCACCGUCGGUCCCACGUACAAACACGCAUUCGAAUGCGACGUGGAGUGCGUGGAGUACGCCGAGGCCCUCGCCGAGUCCGAGGCCCUCAUCGCCGACCUGGAGAACCUCUCCAAAGAGGUGCCAGAUGUGAAGCGUCAUGCCGGCAACUUCGAGCCAGCGGAGACGGUUAAGGCCGUCCCUCUCGACCCCCGUGGCGACACCUCCAAGCAGAUCCGGAUCGGUUCCGGGCUCGACCCCAAAUAGGAAGCAGUGCUCGUCGACUUUCUCCGCGCAAACGCCGACGUCUUUGCGUGGAGUCCCUCGGACAUGCCUGGCAUACCGAGGGAUGUCGUCGAGCACUCGCUGGAUAUUCGGGCCGGAGCCCGACCCGUCAGACAGCCUCUGCGCCGAUUCGACGAGGAGAAGCGCAGAGCGAUAGGCGAGGAGAUCCACAAGCUAAUGGCAGCAGGGUUCAUCAAAGAGGUAUUCCAUCCCGAAUGGCUUGCCAACCCUGUGCUUGUGAGGAAGAAAGGGGGGAAAUGGCGGAUGUGCGUAGACUACACUGGUCUCAACAAAGCAUGUCCGAAGGUUCCCUACCCUCUGCCUCGCAUCGAUCAAAUCGUGGAUUCCACUGCUGGGUGCGAAACCCUGUCCUUCCUUGAUGCCUACUCAGGGUAUCACCAAAUCCGGAUGAAAGAGUCCGACCAGCUCGCGACUUCUUUCAUCACGCCGUUCGGCAUGUACUGCUAUGUCACCAUGCCGUUCGGUUUGAGGAAUGCGGGCGCGACGUACCAGCGGUGCAUGAACCAUGUGUUCGGCGAACACAUCGGUCGCACAGUCGAGGCCUACGUCGAUGACAUCGUAGUCAAGACAAGGAAGGCUUCCGACCUCCUCUCCGACCUUGAAGUGACAUUUCGAUGUCUCAAGGCGAAAGGAGUCAAGCUCAAUCCUGAGAAGUGUGUCUUCGGGGUGCCCCGAGGCAUGCUCCUGGGGUUCAUCGUCUCCGAGCGAGGCAUCGAAGCCAACCCGGAGAAGAUCGCAGCCAUCACCAGCAUGGGACCCAUCAAGGACUUAAAAGGCGUACAUAGGGUCAUGGGAUGUCUUGCGGCCCUGAGCCGCUUCAUCUCACGCCUCGGCGAAAGAGGUCUGCCUUUGUACCGCCUCUUAAGGAAGGCCGAGUGUUUCGCUUGGACCCCUGAGGCCGAGGAAGCCCUCGGGAACCUGAAGGCGCUCCUUACAAAGGCGCCUGUCUUGGUGCCCCCAGCUGAUGGAGAAGCCCUCUUGGUCUACGUCGCCGCUACCACUCAGGUGGUUAGCGCCGCGAUUGUAGUCGAGAGGCAAGAAGAAGGGCAUGCAUUGCCCGUUUAGAGGCCAGUCUACUUCGUCAGCGAAGUACUGUCCGAGACCAAGAUCCGCUACCCACAAGUUCAGAAGCUGUUGUAUGCUGUGAUCCUGACAAGGCGGAAGUUACGACACUACUUCGAAUCUCAUCCGGUAACUGUGGUGUCAUCCUUCCCCCUGGGGGAGAUCAUCCAGUGCCGAGAAGCCUCGGGCAGGAUCGCAAAGUGGGCGGUGGAAAUCAUGGGCGAAACAAUCUCGUUCGCCCCUCGGAAGGCCAUCAAGUCCCAGGUGUUGGCGGACUUCGUGGCCGAAUGGGUCAACACCCAGCUACCGACGGCUCCGAUCCAACCGGAGCUCUGGACCAUGUUUUUCGACGGGUCGCUGAUGAAGACGGGAGCCGGCGCGGGCCUGCUCUUCAUCUCGCCCCUUGGGAAGCACCUACGCUACGUGCUCCGCCUCCAUUUCCCGGCGUCCAACAAUGUGGCCGAGUACGAGGCUCUGGUCAACGGGUUGCGGAUCGCCAUCGAGCUAGGGGUCAGACGCCUCGACGCCCGCGGUGACUCGCAGCUCGUCAUCGACCAAGUCAUGAAGAACUCCCACUGCCGCGACCCGAAGAUGGAGGCCUACUGCGAUGAGGUUCGGCGCCUGGAAGACAAGUUCUUCGGGCUCGAGCUCAACCACAUCGCUCGGCGCUACAACGAGACUGCAGACGAGCUGGCUAAAAUAGCCUCGGGGCGAACGACGGUCCCCCCGGACGUCUUCUCCCGGGAUCUGCAUCAACCUUCCGUCAAGAUCGACGACGCUCCCGAGCCCGAGGCACCCUCGGCACAGCCCGAGGUACCCUCGGCACAGCCCGAGGCACCCUCGGCACAACCCGAGGUACCCUCGGCCCCCGAGGGCGAGGCGCUGCACGUCGAGGAAGAGCAGAGCGGGGCCACGCCUGAUUGAAAUUGGCAGGCCCCGUACCUGCGAUAUCUCCGCCAGGGAGAGCUACCCCUCGACCAAGCCGAGGCUCGGCAGGUAGCUCGACGCGCCAAGUCGUUCGUCUUGCUGGGCGAUGAGGGGGAGCUCUACCACCGCAGCCCCUCGGGCGUCCUCCAGCGAUGCAUCUCCAUCGCCGAAGGUCAGGAACUCCUGCAAGAAAUACACUCGGGGGCUUGCGGCCAUCAUGCAGCACCCCGAGCCCUUGUCGGGAAUGCUUUCCGGCAAGGCUUCUACUGGCCAACGGCGGUGGCUGACGCCACUAGAAUUGUCCGCACCUGCGAAGGGUGCCAAUUCUAUGCGAAGCAGACCCGCCUGCCCGCUCAGGCUCUGCAGACGAUACCCAUCACCUGGCCCUUUGCUGUAUGGGGUCUGGACCUCGUCGGUCCCUUGCAGAAGGCGCCCGGGGGCUACACGCACCUGCUGGUCGCCAUCGACAAAUUCUCCAAGUGGAUCGAGGUCCGACCCCUGAACAGCAUCAGGUCCGAGCAGGCGGUGGCGUUCUUCACCAACAUCAUCCAUCGCUUCGGGGUCCCAAACUCCAUCAUCACCGACAACGGUACCCAGUUCACCGGCAAAAAAUUCUUGGAUUUUUGCGAAGAUCACCACAUCCGGGUGGACUGGGCCGCCGUGGCUCAUCCCAUGUCGAAUGGGCAAGUGGAGCGUGCCAACGUCAUGAUUCUGCAAGGGCUCAAGCCCCGGAUCUACAACGGCCUCAACAAGUUCGGCAAGCGAUGGAUGAAGGAACUCCCCUCGGUGGUCUGGAGCCUGAGGACAACGCCAAGCCGGGCCACGGGUUUCACGCCGUUCUUCCUGGUCUAUGGGGCCGAGGCCAUCUUGCCCACUGACCUGGAAUACGGCUCCCCGAGGGCGAGGGCCUACAAACGAACAAAGCAACCAAGCUAGCCGAGAAGACUCGCUGGACCAGCUGGAGGAGGCUCGGGACAAGGCCUUACUACACUCGGCGCGGUACCAGCAGUCCCUGCGAUGCUACCACGCCCGAGGGGUCCGGUCCCGAGACCUCCAGGUGGGCGAUCUGGUGCUUCGGCUGCGGCAAGACGCCCGAGGGAGGCACAAGCUCACGCCCCCCUGGGAGGGGCCAUUCGUCAUCGCCAAAAUCCUGAAGCCCGGAACAUACAAGCUGGCCAAUAAUCAAGGCGAGAUCUACGGCAACGCCUGGAACAUCAAACAGCUACGUCGCUUCUACCCUUAAGAUGCUUUCAAGUUGUUCGUAUACUUCGCACCCAUGCAAAGUUUAGUCAUCAAGGAAGGGUCGGCCUCGCCUCGGCAGAGCCCGACCCUCCCUCGGGGGCUAAAAGGGGGGAGACCCCCUCUGCGUCAAAUUUUUCCCUCGAAAAAAGAUCUCUUUUUAGCAGAAUUUCUUUCGUGCUUUUUGACUACUUCGAAAAGCGGAUCCUGGAAACGACGGAGUACACGAAAGCAGCCAAGGCUGACCGAGCCGAGGGACUCCUACGCCUCCGGGAUACGGAUACCUCACUCAUCACCUUCUGCGAUAAGUAACUCGUGUUCGGAUAAAGCGACUCCGUGGACCGAACAAGUCUUCACGUUCGGAAGCUCUUCUGCCAAAGUGGUCCUUCAAGCUUUCUCGACUAAGUCGGAGACAGGGCCUCAUGGACGGGCGAAGGUACGCGUAAGCGGCAAGGCUGACCGAGCCGAGGGACUCCUACGCCUUCGGGAUACGGAUACCUCACUCAUCACCUUCCGCGAGAAGCAACUCUCGCCCGCACAAACAUCCCUGUUACCGACGGAAAGUCCAGAUGCUCGGAAUAAGGGGAAAGGAGACGCAGCUUUGCAAGCGCAGCGAGGGUGUGUUUUCUGGCCUCAGCGGCCGCAGAAGGCACACGCUACAAGACGAUCUGAUCCUGCAGGCUCAGGUCUUCACGCUGAAGGGGGCCGUAGCACCCUCGGCGUCGACGACGUCUUCAGCAAGGUCUGACCCAGCCUCGGACGGCGGCGCGGUCCAGGGACUUCUCCGGGAAUCCGGCCCGAGCAGGCGGCUCGGCCGGCUACCCCCGGGGCCUCGGCCAACCAUCUUCCAAGGGCGCUAGCCCGACCCGAGGCCUCGGCUGAUCGACUCCGGCGUCAGAUCCGCUGACGGACAACCCGGCUAGGCUCCGGCCAACCAGGUUCCCAUUUUCGAGCCAACUCCGCCUCUGUUCGUACUGAUAUCGCUACCCCUGGCCUCGGCUCGUCGAAGAGCGGCCGAGGGGUCUCUUUAACUAAGCUAGAGGAGCCUCAGACAACAAGGCCGAUCGAGCCGAGGGAUUACUACGCCUCCGGGAUACGGAUACCUCACUCGUCACCUUGACACGGGGCGACUCAUGCUUGGUGAAGCGGUACAGAUAAUCAACAGGCGAGACUUAGUGCUCGAAAAUGAGGAAAAAACACGGCUCCGUGCCGAAAUUACAUACAUGUUCAGGCCUCGACAGCCACAAUGAACAUAAAACACUGGCAUUCAAGGUGCCAUCACAAACGGAACUCCGGUUCCGUCCCCGCGGGUACGAGCGACCUCGGGCCUGUGGGGGACGAACAUCGGGAGGCUCGCCAGCGACCUCUGCAACAGCAGCCAUGGUCCCGGGUGGACGCGGCCACCGGAGGGCUCUUGUUCGUGAUCCCGCUCAAGGGACGCGAACAAGCCAUCAAAGCCAAAGAGCGGGCCGCUCCUAAGCGCUCCGGCAGAUCCUCGCUGCCGUCCUCGCCGCGAACGCGAGGGAAAGGGCGGAAUGUUGCAUCCUAGCUGGACAGCAACAGUUCGCCUUCCCCGGCAUGACUGGAGGACGCCUCCGUCGCAGCGCGGGAGGACGAUUGCCACCACCAGAAGCUGGAAGAGGAGGUGGUUCGCCAACCCGCUCAGGAGGUAGAGCCCCGGCUCGCCUCGCUCCCCGCCCCAGCGAGGAUGACGAACACGCCCGAUGCUGGGGACGGGAUCACAGCCUGGUUUGCCUCUCCCCAUCCAGGAGCUGGAGGUCACCGUCUAGGGUGACCACCGGCGGAGGGGAGCAACCAGGCUGUGUGAUGAAAAUCCUUGAAGCCGAACGAUGGCUGAAAGGUACCAACUCCCAUGGAGUUGCGUUCCUCCAACGAGAAGGCGGAAAGACGGUGGGUACCCCCCAUCCGGGGGCUUGGAAGAUGGAAAGACACGACGCAUGAGGGAGGAAGAAGAUGUGGUUGCCUUUCGAAAGGGGUCGCCCUCCUUUUAAAGGCAACUCUCCCUACGUGCGCCCCCAAACGCCGCGGGCUGAGUCUUCUCCAACACGCUCCAAGGCCCACCCCUGCGACUCGGGGGCUGGGUCCCGCAUGUCAUGCAGACCGGCUCCGAGCAGAAGAAGCCAAACCGCCGCGCGUGGUGCGCACAACCGCCCAGCGGUUACAAGCGACCCCCACUUUUGCCCAGACCAACGGGCGGGAGGGGCGAGUAGCCAUGCAGGCGGCAUGCAACCGCGCCAGGUGGACGCGCUUCUCCGACUUCUGACACGCCAGCUUGGAGGCUCAGGCCCACGCGUCACGCAACCAGCGCGCCAGUUGCUGCAUGCAAGCAACCGCGCCACCACUUGUGCCACCGUCGCGCCUCUUCGGUUGCGGAGCCUAUGCCGCGACUCGAGGCGACCCAGCGCACGACCCAGCGGCGCCAGCCUGGCGCGACGGUCAAUGCGGCCGAAAGUGGGCCGGCAGUAAUGACGGUGGCAGGCGGACGGGAGCAGCAGUCACGUCGUCAGCCAGGCUCACGUCCCAUCCAGGGACAGCAAGAGAGCCUCCUCCCACGGCGUGAAGACGGUGCGCCCGUGAUCCGUUCCUCGAACGGCUCGCGCACGCGCAACGGCCGCCCCGCCAACCACUCGCCCCGUCGCAUUAACUCCGCGGCAGAUAGGGCGGCGCUUCUGGCAGGAGAAGCGGACGACGCUUCGCCUUCGCCGUAAUAACCGCGCCAAAAAAGGUACGCCACGUCGUUCGAUUUCGUAUCCUUUUCCUUUUUUUCCUCUUUCUCUAUCUCUUACAACAGGGACCGGGAAAGGGGGAUACCCCGAAAAGGAUCCUUCCCUGUGAAGGAACCGGGCUCCGAGCCCCCCUACUGAUCAGAGGUUCGAAGGCUGGCCCUCCGAAGGGUUCAACAGUCGCCUCAGAUCGCGUGGGCCCGACACCCACUACUGGUCAGGGGUUCGAAGGCCGGCCCCCCGAAGGGCUCCACGGCCGCCUCAGGCUACUCGGGCUCCGCACCCAUUACUGAUCAGAGGUUCGAAGGCUGGCCCCCGAAGGGUUCACAGGCGCCUCAGACGCCGAGCGAGGGAUGACCAGGGGUACGUUCGAUACAUAACCGAGGCUCGGGCUGCGCUCCCGAGGUACCCUAGGACAUUUCCGAGACCAGCGGGAGCGAUCUUGUAACGGAAUCCCAUCGGAGGGAGGCAUCGAGCCCUCGGACCCCGUCGCCAGGGGACCGGGUCCAGCAGAUCACCCGCAGGUACUUUUGGGCGUGCCUCUGGGCCCCUAGCCGACCCCCAACGAACGGGGCACGGACGUCCACUCGGAUUACCCGCUUGCAGCUCACCGGAGACACCAUGUUCGGUGCCCAUCGAGGGUAACAUGGCGCACUCCCCCCUCCUCCUUGCGGAAAGGUGACGUAGGGGCGUAUGCAAAAAGUCGAGUCUGUCCCUGAUCGUCCUCUCGCCCUGUGCGGAGGCUCGGGGGCUGCUCUCGCAAACCCGGCUCCGGCCGAACCGUUGACAGCGUCAACAUACCAGCCCGAGAACUUGGGCCCCGACCGUGCACCCGGGCUACGGCCAGUUCGCAUGAGGGAACGACCAGACCAGCCGAAGCGUUACGCAAGGCAUUAAGACCUCGAAGGAGUGAAACCACUCCUCCGAGGCCUCGGGGGCUACACCCAGCGGGUGCGCUCGUGCGCACCCACCGGAAUGAAAUGCAACCGAGGAAGGCUGGUCCCCUUGCAAAAAGUGCGACGAAAGCCUCCAAGCGAGUGCUAACACUCCCUUCGAGGCUCAGGGGCUACUAUCGGGGACCAUAAUUAGGGGUACCCUCAAGACGCCUAAUUCUCAGCUCGUAACCCCCAUCAGCAUAAAGCUGCAAAGGCCUGAUGGGUGCGAUUAAGUCAGGGAUCAGUCCAUACGAGUGACUCGAUCACGCUUCACCCGAGCCUAGCCUCGGACUCGGGCAGCCGACCUCGAGGGACUUCCGUCUCGCCCGAGGCCCCCCUUUUAACGGCGGACACAUCUCCGGCUCGCCCGAGGCCUUGGCUUCACUAAGAAGCAACCCUGACUAAAUCGCCGCACCGACUGACCGAGUUGCAGGGGCAUUUAACGCAAAGGUGGCCUGACACCUCUAUCCUGACGCACGCCCCCCGGCAGAGCCGAAGUGACCGCCGUCACUCCGCUGCUCCACUGACCGGUCUGACAGAAGGACAGCGCCGCCUGCGCCACUCCGACUGCGGUGCCACUCGACAGAGUGAGUCUGACAGGCAGUCAGGCCUCGCCAGGGGCGCCAUAGCGAACUCCGCUCCGCCCGACCCCAGGGCUCGGACUCGGGCUAAGACCCGGAAGACGGCGAACUCCGCUCCGCCCGACCCCAGGGCUCGGACUCGGGCUAAGACCCGGAAGACGGCGAACUCCGCUCCGCCCGACCCCAGGGCUCGGACUCGGGCUAAGACCCGAAAGACGGCGAACUCCGCUCCGCCCAACCCCAGGGCUCGGACUCGGGCUAAGACCCGGAAGACGGCGAACUCCGCUCCGCCCGACCCCAGGGCUCGGACUCUGGCUAAGACCUGGAAGACGGCGAACUCCGCUCCGCCCGACCCCAGGGCUCGGACUCGGGCUAAGACCCGGAAGACGGCGAACUCUGCUCCGCCCGACCCCAGGGCUCGGACUCGGGCUAAGACCCGGAAGACGGCGAACUCCGCUCCGCCCGACCCCAGGGCUCGGACUCGGGCUCGGCCCCGGAAGACGACGAACUCCGCCUCGCCCGACCCCAGGGCUCGGACUCCGCCCUGGCCUCUGCCGAACGACUUCCGCCUCGCCCGACCCAGGGGCUCGGACUCGGCCUCGGCAACGGAAGACAGAUUCGACCCCAGAUUCGGAGGAGCCCCCACGUCGCCUGGCCUCGGGCGCGGGCCCGCCACGUCAACAGGGAGCGCCAUCACCACUCUACCCCGAGCCGACUCGGGCUGCAGAGAACAAGACCGGUGUCCCAUCUGGCCAGCUCCACCAGAUAGACAAUGAUGGCGCCUCCCAAGCUCUAUGACGGCGGCGGCUCUCAGCUCUCUUACGGAAGCAGGUGGACGUCAGCAAGGACUCGACCGCUCCGACAGCUGUCCUUCCGCCAAGCUCCGUCGCUCCUCCGACAGCCACGACAUCACACCAGCAGGGUGCCAAGAUCUCUCCGGCUGCCACAUUGGCAUGUACUUAGGGCGCUAGCUCUCCCUCCGCUAGACACGUAGCACUCUGCUACACCCCCAUUGUACACCUGGAUCCUCUCCUUACGACUAUAAAAGGAAGGACCAGGGCCUUCUUAGAGGAGGUUGGCCGCGCGGGACCGAGGACGGGACAGGCGCUCUCUUGGGGCCGCUCGCUUCCCUCACCCGCGUGGACGCUUGUAACCCCCCUACUGCAAGCGCACCCGACCUGGGCGCGGGACGAACACGAAGGCCGCGGGACUUCCACCUCUCUCACGCCCGUCUCCGGCCACCUCGCCUCUCCCCCCUUCGCGCUCGCCCACGCGCUCGACCCAUCUGGGCUGGGGCACGCAACACACUCACUCGUCGGCUUAGGGACCCCCCGGUCUCGAAACACCGACAAGUAAUUUCUUGGGAUGUACUGCCUUCAUGGUGCUUGUGCAAGACCUUAUUGAAUUAGAAAGUUAGUUAAAUGUGUUCUAUCACCUUUGCCAAGUUUUGAGUGUUAAAAAGUGACAGGUCUAAGUGUAGUAACCUAUCGAUGUUAUGCUUUAGCUUAAGGCUAAUUGUGUUAAAUGUGUUGUUUCUUGAUGUUGCGUUGGUUCAUUUAAUUUAGAGAACCGUAAUUAUUGUGUUUAAUCGUAUGUCGAUAACUAGUGUCUUCGUAGAAAGGGGUACGACGCUUCGCCGCUAGGUGUUUAAUUCGAUAUCGCAUAACACUAUUUAGGUUUGUAAUAUUCCUGUUUAUAUGCACUCAUGUGCAUCAUGCAUCUCAAUUAGGUACGAUAAUUGAUCGCGUGAUGCGGAAGACGAACCAAGUCGACCCCAAGCGCGGGCUACUCCGCAUGGAGAUGCUGAUGCACGAAUCUGCCUGAUCAAGUGCUAGGACAAGGAUGAUCGUCAAGUGGACGUCACCUAACAACACUAACCUAGUGUUACCCAGGCAAGCCCCGGUGCAUUUGCCACCUCCUUGUUGUUUUAAAACUUUUAUCACUUAUAUGCUGCAAUAGGUGAUAGGAGUUGAGUGAAGAAACAAUUGAUGCAUUGCCAUUCCUUGGAAUUCGAUUACUAUUCCUUGAUACCUGUUUUAUAAAGAGAACUAAUGAGGCUUAGCCCUGCUUAGAAACUAAAAGUUGUUUCUUUUAAAAAGAAUGUUGUGCAACACUGGAUAUGGGUUUUAUGAAAAAGGAACUUGUAAUAAUGAAGGCAUCACUCGCGAUGAUGAAUUCAUUAUUCGAGUAUUGUACCUCUGUCAGGUACAUGGUUUGGGUGUUAAAUAAUAAGAUGAGACCAGACGUUGAGCAGGAAAGGUCGCCCGUCUGUGUCGAUUAAGGACCGUUCCGAUUGUUGGCCUGCUGAUCUAGGACCCUUUAACUGGCCACAUGCCUCAUCAUGGGUAAGCUUAGCCUCGGCUGGACCAAUACCAGAAAGGCCGGCCCGCAAUGGGAGUGGAGAGAUGGCGAGAGUAUCGUGUAUCCACCUGGCAAGAGGCUGGAUGGUGGGGUACUGAGCUCUCGGUUGGCGGGGACCCGUUCUGGUCUUGAGAAACCCGGUGGCGAGUUGACAUAUGCAAGGGUUAAGUGCUACAUAUGUCGUGUGGUUGGAGAUCCCCAGCUGGGUAUUAAUCGAUUCGGAUCGCCGAACUUCUCGGAUAUGAAGACUGGAUCUUCGACCCUCAUCGUAGAUAACAAGUGAAACUAAAGCUGCUAAAAUGAAGCUAGUGUAGGACAAGUGAAUGCUCUAGAUUAGGCAAAUCUAGAUUCAGGAAAAGUACUUAAUCUGUGAAGUAAAACUUUGGCAUAAGGAUCCACUACUAGUAAGCUUUUCUGCAAAAACGAGUCUUUGAAAUUUGAUGAGCUUUAUCUUGAUUCCCAACAAACCAGCAUACCCUUGAGAGUCUUUUCUUUAGUCGGGUAAGUCUUGCUGAGUAAUUGCAUACUCAGGGUUUUAUUCCCUGUUGUUUUUCAGGUUAUAAUUUUGUUCUGUUGUGGAUGGUGCUAAGUGCCGGUGGGCUCGGCCUUCUUAUAUAAGUAUAUCCCAUCUUUAGCUUCUUUAUUGAGGAUUGUCACUUAAGCUAGCAUGUAUUUUAAAAACUUAUAAAUAUUUUAUACAUUUUAAAGUGUAAUUCUGUUGAAUCAUUUUCUUUUGUAAUCACUCCAAUAAUUGUAUAAUGUAAACUUAUUGUAACAUGUAAUUAUUUUGCAAUAAAGAAUUUAUUUCCGCUGCAAAUAUUGGUGUGUGAUUUGUGUUUACUUAAUCUUGCGAUCUUGGCGGUAAGUCGUUUAUCCGGGGUCCUCGGGGCACUCGGACAGAUCCUGUUAAGAUGUUUGGUGCACACGCAUAGCUGUCUGAGGUUUUUGAGACGAGGACAGAUGCGUGUGGGCCCGAUAACUUGGGAGGUUCUGCGACAGCUGGUAUCGGAGCUGGAUUAAGUAUAUACGGUCACAUACAUAUUUUCAAAAUAAAAGUUUUGGUUUUGAAAAACCUAUUUUCAACUAAACACAUUGUUUGGCUUUGAAAAACUAUAAUGCUAGCGACAUCCUCUAUUAAGCCCUAAAUUAAGGACUACCUGGUGGCUUAGUUGAAAACCAUAACCGGGUGGAUAUUGCAUACAUGUGUAUUGUUAUUUUUGAAAGCCAUUCAGUCUUGAAUGGAUCGACGCUCAAGGUAAGGUGAGAUGUGAGAGCAUGACCGAACAACCGUCGGUCUAGGGAAGUGCUUAAUUGUGGCGCUUGAUUAUAUACAUGUUUUACAUAUGUAUAUAUGAAGGCUGCGAUGUGGAGUAUUUACUUUUCGGGAAUUCAGUACCCCAUUGAUGUGUAUGGGUAUACAGACAUGGGAAUACUGAGAAGUGUAAUGUACUUGUAACG
rnacentral:lncRNA from 1 species